AGGAUGGAGAGAAAGAGUGCUGGAGAAAGUAAUAUUCGCAGUCAUGCAUCAAGGAGAAAUCAGCUAGAAGAAGAUGAUCUAUUGAUAACCUAAUUUGGAAGAAAAGAUUGCUGAUGGUAGGAAGGGUAAAAAAACUGUGUUAGUGGCUGUAGUAUUCCAGCUAAUUGAGACUUGGAGUACUUUAUCCAGGCAUAGACAUGGAGCAUCAGCAUCUUCAUCACCAUCCAUAUUAGAAUGGGGUUGGUCAUGUUGGCUAAAGUGAGGAGCACAUUUUUAGAUAUGUUAACUAGUAUGGGGAGCAUUUUGCCCAUGUUAGCUAUUAGGAAGAAUAUUUGGGAGGUGUUGUUUAUUUUGGGUUUGUUUAAACCAGAAAAAUUUUGAUGUAUCAUACUUUUAAACUAUAUGUACAAAGUUAUAAAAUGAGGAAUAAAAGUUUAAAGUUGUUUUUGAAUUA